AAUUAACGUUGGCGGCGUGGAUUAGGCAUGCAAGUCGAGCGGCAGCAGGCCCCGCAAGGGGCGCUGGCGAGCGGCGAAAGGGAGAGUAACGCGUGGGUACGUACCCCUGGGAUCAGGAUAGCGGCGGGAAACUGCCGGUAAUACUGAAUAACAUCUCAGGAUCAAAGGUGUGAUUCCGCCUGGGGCUCGGGCCGUCGUGGUAUUAGCUAGAUGGCGGGGUAACGGCCAGCCAUGGCUGCGAUGCCUACCGGGCGUGCGAGCGUGGCCCGGCACACUGGGACUGAGACACUGCCCAGACACCUACGGGUGGCUGCAGUCGAGAAUCUUCGGCAAUGGGCGCAAGCCUGACCGAGCGACGCCGCGUGGAGGAUGAAGGCCUUCGGGUUGUAAACUCCUGUCGAGGGGGAACAAGGUGGCGCGAAGAGCGUCGCUUGAGUGAUCCCUGGAGGAAGUAUGGGCUAAGUUCGUGCCAGCCGCCGCAGUAAGAC
rnacentral:rRNA from 1 species